AGGGAGACUGCCGAGCUAGAGGGUGGGAGAGGUCAGCGGUAUUCCUGGGGUAGGGGCGAAAUCCUUUGAUCCCAGGAGGACCACCAGUGGCGAAGGCUGCUGACUAGAACACGCCUGACGGUGAGGGACGAAAGCUGGGGGAGCGAAUCGGAUUAGAUACCCGAGUAGUCCCAGCCGUAAACGAUGCAGGCUAGGUGUUGGGGCGGCCACGGGCCGCCUCAGUGCCACAGGGAAGCCAUUAAGCCUGCCGCCUGGGGAGUACGGCCGCAAGGCUGAAACUUAAAGGAAUUGGCGGGGGAGCACCACCAGGCGUGAAGCCUGCGGUUUAAUUGGAGUCAACGCCGGGAACCUUACCGGGAGCGACAGCAGGGUGAAGGCCAGGCUGAAGGUCUUGCCGGACGAGCUGAGAGGAGGUGCAUGGCCGUCGCCAGUUCGUGCCGUGAGGUGUCCUCUUAAGUGAGGUAACGAACGAGACCCGCGCCCCUUGUUGCCACCAAAUCCUAAAGGGAUGUUGGGCACUCUUGGGGGACCGCUGCCGACAAGGCAGAGGAAGGUGCGGGCAA
rnacentral:rRNA from 1 species